UGGGGAAUUUUGUCCAAUGGGCGCAAGCCUGAGACAGCAACGCCGCGUGUGGGAUGAAGGCCCUCGGGUCGUAAACCACUGUCAGAGGGGAAGAACGGCACCGUGACCAAUACUCACGGUGAUUGACGGUACCCUCAAAGGAAGGUCCGGCUAACUCCGUGCCAGCAGCCGCGGUAAUACGGAGGGACCAAGCGUUGUUCGGAAUUACUGGGCGUAAAGCGCAUGUAGGUGGUUCGGUAAGUCGAAUGUGAAAGCCCAGGGCCCAACCCUGGAACUGCAUCCGAAACUGCCGAGCUAGAGUCCCGGAGAGGAAGGCAGAAUUCCCAGUGUAGGGGUGAAAUCCGUAGAUAUUGGGAGGAAUACCAGUGGCGAAGGCGGCCUUCUGGACGGUGACUGACACUGAGAUGCGAAAGCGUGGGGAGCAAACAGGAUUAGAUACCCCCGUAGUCC
rnacentral:rRNA from 1 species